UACGGGAGGGGCUAGCGGUGUUCGGAAUUACUGGGCGUAAAGCGCACGUAGGCGGACUUUUAAGUCGGGGGUGAAAUCCCAGGGCUCAACCCUGGAACUGCCUUCGAUACUGGAGGUCUGGAGGUCGAGAGAGGCGAGUGGAAUGCCGAGUGUAGAGGUGAAAUUCGUAGAUAUUCGGCGGAACACCAGUGGCGAAGGCGGCUCGCUGGCUCGAUACUGACGCUGAGGUGCGAAAGCGUGGGGAGCAAACAGG
rnacentral:rRNA from 1 species